rnacentral:rRNA from 1 species
AGCAGCCGCGGUAAUUCCAGCUCCAAUAGCGUAUAUUAAAGUUGUUGCAGUUAAAAAGCUCGUAGUUGAAUUUCGGAGUUAGUAGGUUGGUCGAGCCACUGGUAUGCACUGGCCUCACUGAUUCCUCCUUCUUGAAGAACUGUAAUGCCAUUAAUUUGGUGUUGCAGGGAAACAGGACUGUUACUUUGAAAAAUUAGAGUGUUUAAAGCAGGCUAACGCUUGAAUACAUUAGCAUGGAAUAAUGAAAUAGGACGUUUGAUCCUAUUUUGUUGGUUUCUAGGAUUUGACGUAAUGAUUAAUAGGGAUAGUUGGGGGCAUUAGUAUUCAAUUGUCAGAGUGAAAUUCUUGGAUUUAUGAAGACUAACUACUGCGAAAGCAUUUGCCAAGGAUGUUUUCAUUAAUCAAGAACGAAAGUUAGGGGAUCGAAGACG